AGGAGCCCAUCUGUUGAGAUGAGAACCUGUGAAGAUGGAAGGAACCUAGAUGUUUGAGUCAUGGGGUGGAGAAGAGACCAUGUAAACCUACAUUGAAAUUUGUGUGACUCCCUCCCCCUCAACCAGCUUAGAAGUCGGGUGGAAGAGGAAGCUGAAUGGAACAACAUGAGCCCUGGUCAGGGCAGACUUAAGCCAGGAGAUGAAGUGCCAUAUACAGAGAAAACCUCAGUGGGAUCCCAGAUGGAGCACAAUUCCUG
rnacentral:lncRNA from 1 species